rnacentral:rRNA from 1 species
UGGGGAAUCUUGCGCAAUGGCCGAAAGGCUGACGCAGCGACGCCGCGUGUGGGAUGAAGCAUUUCGGUGUGUAAACCACUGUUGCCCGGGACGAACAGCCUUUUUCGAGAGGCCUGACGGUACCGGGUGAGGAAGCACCGGCUAACUCCGUGCCAGCAGCCGCGGUAAUACGGAGGGUGCGAGCGUUGUCCGGAAUCACUGGGCGUAAAGGGCGCGUAGGUGGCGCGGGCAGUCAACGGUGAAAGUUCGGGGCUCAACCCUGAAUCGGCCGUCGAUACUCCCGUGCUUGAGCACUGUAGAGGCAGAUGGAAUUCCGGGUGUAGCGGUGGAAUGCGUAGAGAUCCGGAAGAACACCGGUGGCGAAGGCGGUCUGCUGGGCAGUUGCUGACACUGAGGCGCGACAGCGUGGGGAGCAAACA